rfam:Helianthus annuus unplaced genomic scaffold HanXRQChr00c0353, whole genome shotgun sequence.
CGUUGCGAUCAUACCAGCACUAAUGCACCGGAUCCCAUCAGAACUCCGCAGUUAAGCGUGCUUGGGAGAGUAGUACUAGGAUGGGUGACCCCCUGGGAAGUCCUCGUGUUGCAACCC